rnacentral:rRNA from 1 species
AUUGAACGCUGGCGGCAGGCCUAACACAUGCAAGUCGAACGAGUGGCGGAAGGGUGAGUAAAGUCUGGGAAACUGCCCGAUGGAGGGGGAUAAUUACUGGAAACGGUAGCUAAUACCGCAUACCAUCGGAUGUGCCCAGAUGGGAUUAGCUAGUAGGUGGGGUAACGGCGCACUCAGGCGACGAUCCCUAGCUGGUCUGAGAGGAUGACCAGCCAAACUGGAACUGAGACACGGUCCAGCCGCCUACGGGAGGCAGCAGUGGGGAAUAUUGCACAAUGGGCGCAAGCCUGAUGCAGCCAUGCCGCGUGUAUGAAGAAGGCCUUCGGGUUGUAAAGUACUUUCAGCGGGGAGGCGUUACCCGCAGAAGAAGCACCGGCUAACUCCGUGCCAGCCGCCGCGGUAAUUC